UUGACGAAGCCACUUACACACACACACUUAUCUAGUCUUAUCUAAUCCUAAAAAUCAAGGACACCCUAUUGUUUACUUGGUACAGAAUAUUGAUGUUCAUCAUGAAAGCAAAGCAUAUGUUACAACAGCGACAGCAUGUCUAGAUAGCGAGCUAGGGGACGUUCACCUAAUCUUGGGUUUCUUUUAGUUACAUUAAAGAAAGCUUUCUCGGGAUCGGAGCUGUACCGAGGCAAUGGAUUUGCACCACGUCUGUGUAAAAGCUGCGAGUCUGUCUUGGCACCUGGGUACCCUUGAUAAAUGUUGAGCUACAAGAAUGGAGGUGUAACAGUGAUGAAUUUACAAGGACGAAAACACUCUUCAUCCUUAAUAUUGAUUUGUUGAGUGGAAGCAUAUAUAGUAACUUCAUUGGAGAUCACAUGAAGCGCCCCUCCAUGGAUAUCAUAUAUGAUUGGCGAUUACUGUAAACUUGCAUAUUAAUUAAUGUUCAACUCUCGAUAAGUUUUCUAUUUUA